ensembl:lncRNA
AUUGUUUCCUCGGCCGCUCCUCCCGCCAGGCCGGCGUCACUGGCCGGGCGCCCGGGCCGGCGGCAGGUUAUUUAUAGCGCCGGCUGCGCGCGUCACGGAGCCCGGCCCGGCUGACGGGGCCGCUGACGCGCUUGGCCGCGGGGCCGAGGGCGCGGGGUGCGCGCGGGCGGCGACAAUGGGCCGGAGCGCGCGCCUCCCCGGCCUCCGCGGGCCGCUCUCGGGCCCGGGGCCUCGGCUCCGCGCCUCCACGGGGGUGGCCGGCUCAGCCUCGGCCUCGACCCCGGGGCUCAGCUCGGCGGUCCGCGCUCCCUGCCGCGCACCCGGACUGCAGGAAGAGCUGGAGCCGGGCUGCUCGACCACUCCGCGCCCGGGGACGCGGCGACCUGGGGCCCGGAGCGCUGGGCAGACAUGCAAAAUUGACAAAGUUUAACAAAGCUGAUCUUGGAAAUUGCCAUUCUACCUACUAUCUGGUGAGGUGUGGAGAGGUGGAAAAUACGACUUCCGGUGUUAGGAUGUCGGUAUCAACACACCGAAGUCAUCGUUUAGAUCCUACCGAGUGGCUUAGUAAUAAAUACUUCAUAUUAGAUUUUAAAAUCUGGCGACUAAUAAAAUGUAACUGCCUUUAAGCUUGGAUUUUAAACAUGAUCAUCUUUUUACCAUUCCUUGUAUUUGUUGAUUCACAAACGCAGAUCACAAUAAAAGACAAGCAACAACUUAAAGAAUAUUAAUUAAAGUAUUAUUCGCACUUUAAUUUCACAUUUACUUUUACGUAUGAAGGGAUAUCAUAAAGCUAGAAAUAUAACAUGUAGGGUUUUUUUUUUCAUUCAGCAAUCUGUAAGAAAGUUCACAUGAAACGAUAGACUUGACUCCCAAAGUACGUAAAAUAGACACGAACAGUCUAAAAAUGUAUUUACUUUUAAUUUUCUACAUUUCAGAAAGUGAUAACAUUUCAAAAGUUUAUAUAUCAUGUCCUUUCAGAAUCAUUUUGAAAGGCCAAGAUGACACCCUCAUCCCCUGGACACACAUACCUUAUAAUGGCUGAUGGUUUGUGAAGCAGUGUUUGGGUUAGUUCAGACAUUCUGUCAUUAUAGCUAACGCCUUUUGCCUAUUUAUAUAGCAAGGAAUCUUCUACAGAAUAACUUAGGCUCUGUCUACCUUAUGGUGAGAUUCUUUGCUGGGGCUGUUUCCCUGCAGUCUUUUACUAGCUGAGGUUUGGUUUGUUCUGUGGCACCAGUACUCUAUGAAUUUAAAGCCAGACCAGGAGGGAGCCUGUCCAUCACGACUCCAUCUUCACGACCUGUGAAUUGACAGUGACCGUGUCCCUUAACCAGUCACACAGAACUUGCCUUAUAAAGCUGUUAUUGUCACGGGCAGAUACUGCAACCUUUUGUCAAGCCCCAUGAUUAUUAAAGUGUUCCUCCUUCAAAUCCAGGCCAAAAGGCCUCCUGGGCUUCGUUUCAGAGUUCAAGCAGAGUCUCAAGCAGCGCUCUUUGCUCUCCCUCUCCAGUUGUAUCAUUACGUGUAUCCACCGAUAAUCCAGGCACCCUUAUAGAUAUGAACUAUGCAUGUUUCUGUCUGCUUAUAUGACAACAUGCCUAAGAUACAUAUGGUACAGCAUUAUUUCAACGUAAAGAGUCAAUAGAUGUAUACUGUUACUCUAAACAAUGUAUCCGAUCACCAAGGGCAACACCAGAACUGCCAUUGCCCUUGUCCACUAGGAAAUAACUUUCCUUUUUGUCUUUGAGUGGUCAAACUUAAAACUUCUCUUUUCCGGGUUGCCCUGCCAUGUCCUUAGUUGGAGAAUUUGUUUAGACAGGGAAACUUUUGAAAACUGUGCAUGGGUUGGCCAAGAAAAUACUUCUUUGUUUACGAUGGCCAUGGAUAAAAGACAACUAGGUAUAUUCCCCACACUAAGUAAUUUUAUUUCCACUUUUUUCCCCCCACAGAUACAUUUGUGAUCUUUUAAGUUACACUGACUUAAUGGUUUUCUCAAGGCAGCAUGUAACCAGUUGUGAAUAGGUAUUAGGAUUCUAAUAAAACUCUUCCCCUAAGUGGGGUUGUGAGUCAUCAGGAAAGAGUGUGGACCCCACUGCACUUGAGUCUGCUUUUCAAAUUCAAAACAACCCAUGUUGUUGCAUUAGAAGCUCCUUCCUGUCUUUUACGAGCAUUUCAUUAAAAAAGAAAGUGGCAGUCUGUAAUAUUACCCCAGUCAAGCAGGAAGUGGUCUCUCCUUCUCAUCAAUAUGCAGCUUUGUCUUUAUAUGGGUUGGUAGGAGCUCCAUACAAAUACCAUAUAAGAAAUUGACUUGGGUUGCCCUUACUUUGACUGAAGAUUGACAGGAGCUCUCCCUUUAAUUAACCUUGUUCUUUUUCAUGUUCUGUAUUCAGAUAUUGAAAUACAGUAUUUUUAUACAUUUAUCAGAUUGUGUUUGCAUUUAUUUAAUUUAUGUUUCUUUUUUUAAAGCGUGUAGUCUUGAAUGUUUGUUCUCCCUUUUUUUCACAUCAUUACUCUGGUACUGCUUGAUGUAACUUGAUUAGCUCCCUCCCCAGUCAUGAUUGGUAAUUAAAAUAGGCAUUAAAAUUAGUCACUUAGCAAUUUUGCUGUUCAAUUGGCAAUUAAAUUACUUAA